UUCCUUGUUUCUUUUCCUUCAGCAAUCCAGUGGGACAAAGAUGGCCGCCCAUUUCACUUUCUCUUUUACACUGGCAAGCAGUCCUAUUAUUCUGUAAUGCAUGAAUUGUAUGGUAAGCUACUUCGUAUUGAGGAACACCAAGAACGAAUGCGUGCUCAAGGAUUAUUACUGCAUGAGAAGAAAUCCCAGUUAAACCUGAUUGGCAGCAGAUGGCUGAUUAAAGAGGAAUUGGAAGAAAUGAUAGUGGAAAAACUGUCAGAUCAAGAUGUGAGUAAUUAAUCUCCUUUAUUUAAUGAACCUUGUAUUUUAACGGAACAGCUACAUGGGUUUUUCUUUAAGGAUUCUGAAAAAAUCUUUUCCUUGGAGACAGGAAUUAUUCAUGUUCUUGGUCUCUUUCGUGCACAUAAACACACAUACUGAAGAAUCUGUAUUGAUUCCUAUACAAAUUACGUCAGCCACAUUUGGACAACUUGUUCACUAAAAUUGUGAGAGACUGAGCGGAUUCUCUCAAAGCAGCACUUCUCUUUAGUUUAAAUCUGUCUGACAG